ACCCCAUCUGAUGUUGCUGAUAUACCUGCUCCUGUUAUGGAUCAUGAUGGCAUUGAAAAUUUUGUUCAUGAAUUACUUGGUGUGCAUAAUUGUAAUGACAAUAUCAUUGAUAACAGUGAUGAUCAAAACCAGAGGAGGGAAAGGGGCAAUACAAGUAGGAAUUCAUUGAAUGAAUAGUUUUAUGAUCUGAUUAGUGACGCAUAUAAAUUUAUCCUGUGUGCGAAAAGUAUAGUAAAUUGUCAUUUAUCAUAUAUUUCUAUCGUAUAAAGACUCUUUGUGGAAUGACUAAUAAGGCAGUGACAAUGAUGGAUUAUGGUAUACAGUGAAGGUUUUCUCUAUACGUCAUUUAGUGUUUUCUCUAUAUGUCACUAUUUAAAUGUUGUAACAUCAUCUCAUGUCAUUUUAUUUUAUGUAGUACAUUCUGAUAUGGACUUGUUUUAUUUGGCUCUAAUCAAAUGCAUGUACAGAGGAAGAGUGAGUAAAAUAGGAAAAAUCAUUCAAAGCAAACUUUGCUUCAUACUGCUGCUACAAAGAGCUUUGCACGAGUUGUUGCUGAGAUGGUAAUCAAUAAAAUUGUUGAAUUUGUUUGCUAUUGCCCUAAUAAAGCUAUAUUAUACUAUUUCUUUUAUAUUGACAAACUAAAAUAGAUGGUGUGGCUCUUUUACGUGCCAAAUUAUUUAUCAAGACACACACGUAAGGAUGGCAUUAUUCUCACUGAAGACACUCAUGAAAAGAUACAAAAGAUUCAAGAGAAAAUCACUCAAGAUCCAAAUGUUGGGAUCUCAAAUGAAGAUGACAUAGGUUGGAGCAAAGACAAUGUUUAUUCUGAAGUCUUUGGAGAUGAAAAAAAUGGUCGUGUAAGGGGUGUGGGUCAUGGCCCUACUCCAUCUCAAAAAAUUGUUUCAUCCCUCGUUCAUUAAAAGGUGUUUCCAUCGUUUCAUCAUCAACAAGUAGCAGAUAGUCUACUUUAGUGAUGGAACUUACGGAUCGACUAGCGUCAUUGGAGGAUAAGUUCACCAAAUUCAUGGAUGCCUUUCAAUCUUAUACUACUAGACAUGGUGAAUCAAGUGAGCAUGUGGUAACUCCAAAGACUCAUCUCCGUUCUUCAAGCUCUAGUCAUGAUCUUGUCAAUCAAGUUGAACAAUGUAAGUCACAAUUUCGAUCAACUUACAUG